rnacentral:rRNA from 1 species
GACGAACGCUGGCGGCGUGCUUAACACAUGCAAGUCGAACGGAAAGGCCCUGCUUUUGUGGGGUGCUCGAGUGGCGAACGGGUGAGUAACACGUGAGUAACCUGCCCUUGACUUUGGGAUAACUUCAGGAAACUGGGGCUAAUACCCGAUAGGAGCUUCGGCGGCAUGGUGGGGGUUGUAAAGUUUCGGCGGUUGGGGAUGGACUCGCGGCUUAUCAGCUUGUUGGUGGGGUAGUGGCUUACCAAGGCUUUGACGGGUAGCCGGCCUGAGAGGGUGACCGGCCACAUUGGGACUGAGAUACGGGCCAGACUCCUACGGGAGGCAGCAGUGGGGAAUAUUGCACAAUGGGCGGAAGCAUGAUGCAGCAACGCCGCGUGCGGGAUGACGGCCUUAGGGUUGUAAACCGCUUUCGCCUGUGACGAAGCGUGAGUGACGGUAAUGGGUAAAGAAGCACCGGCUAACUACGUG